CAUUUUCGAUUUUUCCAUCGAUGGUCUUCGGAUCACACCUGCAGUUAUUUCGGGCUCAACAACUGGGCGUGAAGAUGUUUCACUCACGUUGCUUGCGGCGUACGUGCUUUGAGUCUGGAAAAAUAUGCAACGACAGAGCUUCAGCUCGCAAAAAGGGUCGCUGAAUCCAUUGAGAUCUUUUGCAACGAGAUCUUUGGCUCUCAGCAGCGUUACUUCCAUCAAUCCACUUCCGGUCGACAGGAGACUCGAGAUGUCCGAGGACGCCGGAUCGUUGUCGCGAUGCGUCAAAACGCGCAUUGGGCACUUCUGGACGUAUGUGAGGCGUUAAUUAACUCAAAGAAACCGAACCGCUUGCUGCAUCCAAGGAAGACUGUUUCUUUUUCCUUUCGGUUCAUCAGCAUCGGUCAUUGGAGCGAUGCUGCUUCGACGACUCGGUAUUACUUGCUGCACACUCCGAACUGGAUAAAAUAACACCGAUACGGUCAUAGUGGAUCCGCCGUUCGAUCCACUGAGGGCCAAGUCUUUCCUCACUACCCAUCGUGUGUCCUGAAAAAAACGAAAUUCUUCACCAUACGAUUUUUUUUUGUACGACACUCGUUGGCAUUGUUUUAAAUUAUAUUAUUAUUAACCUGC